rnacentral:rRNA from 1 species
GAUGAACGCUGGCGGCGUGCCUAAUACAUGCAAGUCGAACGAGUUCUCGUUGAUGAUCGGUGCUUGCACCGAGAUUCAACAUGGAACGAGUGGCGGACGGGUGAGUAACACGUGGGUAACCUGCCCUUAAGUGGGGGAUAACAUUUGGAAACAGAUGCUAAUACCGCAUAGAUCCAAGAACCGCAUGGUUCUUGGCUGAAAGAUGGCGUAAGCUAUCGCUUUUGGAUGGACCCGCGGCGUAUUAGCUAGUUGGUGAGGUAAUGGCUCACCAAGGCGAUGAUACGUAGCCGAACUGAGAGGUUGAUCGGCCACAUUGGGACUGAGACACGGCCCAAACUCCUACGGGAGGCAGCAGUAGGGAAUCUUCCACAAUGGACGCAAGUCUGAUGGAGCAACGCCGCGUGAGUGAAGAAGGCUUUCGGGUCGUAAAACUCUGUUGUUGGAGAAGAAUGGUCGGCAGAGUAACGGUUGUCGGCGUGACGGUAUCCAACCAGAAAGCCACGGCUAACUACGUGCCAGCAGCCGCGGUAAUACGUAGGUGGCAAGCGUUAUCCGGAUUUAUUGGGCGUAAAGCGAGCGCAGGCGGUUUUUUAAGUCUGAUGUGAAAGCCCUCGGCUUAACCGAGGAAGCGCAUCGGAAACUGGGAAACUUGAGUGCAGAAGAGGACAGUGGAACUCCAUGUGUAGCGGUGAAAUGCGUAGAUAUAUGGAAGAACACCAGUGGCGAAGGCGGCUGUCUGGUCUGUAACUGACGCUGAGGCUCGAAAGCAUGGGUAGCGAACAGGAUUAGAUACCCUGGUAGUCCAUGCCGUAAACGAUGAAUGCUAGGUGUUGGAGGGUUUCCGCCCUUCAGUGCCGCAGCUAACGCAUUAAGCAUUCCGCCUGGGGAGUACGACCGCAAGGUUGAAACUCAAAGGAAUUGACGGGGGCCCGCACAAGCGGUGGAGCAUGUGGUUUAAUUCGAAGCAACGCGAAGAACCUUACCAGGUCUUGACAUCUUUUGAUCACCUGAGAGAUCAGGCUUCCCCUUCGGGGGCAAAAUGACAGGUGGUGCAUGGUUGUCGUCAGCUCGUGUCGUGAGAUGUUGGGUUAAGUCCCGCAACGAGCGCAACCCUUAUGACUAGUUGCCAGCAUUUAGUUGGGCACUCUAGUAAGACUGCCGGUGACAAACCGGAGGAAGGUGGGGAUGACGUCAAAUCAUCAUGCCCCUUAUGACCUGGGCUACACACGUGCUACAAUGGAUGGUACAACGAGUUGCGAGACCGCGAGGUCAAGCUAAUUUCUUAAAGCCAUUCUCAGUUCGGACUGUAGGCUGCAACUCGCCUACACGAAGUCGGAAUCGCUAGUAAUCGCGGAUCAGCACGCCGCGGUGAAUACGUUCCCGGGCCUUGUACACACCGCCCGUCACACCAUGAGAGUUUGUAACACCCGAAGCCGGUGGCGUAACCCUUUUAGGGAGCGAGCCGUCUAAGGUGACAAAUGAUUAGGGUG